UUGUUCUCUGAAAAUUUUCAUAAUGUCUUAAUCAUCAAUCAAUGUGUUAUGGCGGUAGCUCCACUCCUCCCCCAGAGUUUAAUCGAGAUCAUUGUUGAGCACACUGCACUCUCUGUGCACCACCGUGCAUAUCCUCAUCUUCAUCGUAUGCCUCUUGUGCUUGCUUCCUGCGCAUCUCCUCUUCAAUGUUGACAUCGUGGAGAGUGGUCUCUUCACAUUCAUCCAAUUCCAUAUCUGAGAGCUGCACUGAGGUCCUGGGAGGCAGAACGCCCUCCAGCGCCUUGCACUGUUCGGGGUUCAAGGAGUCUGGGAACUCAACACUGAAGUGGAUGUAAAGUUUGCCCUUCAUGAAUGGCCUCUGGUACAUAGGCAUACCCUCAUCGUUUAUGGCCUUGAAUUGGUCUGUGCAAUUAAGAAUGGAAAACAUUGAGCAAAUGCCUCAACAUGCAAUACAAGCAGAUGUACUGAAACACAAACAGUUACAUACCAGGCUUCACUACUUCACCGGGAAGUGAUUUGAUGAGUAGCUGUCGGCCAUCCAAAUGAGUCAGAAUAAAUUGGAAACCACACAGAGACUCGACGAGAGACAAGGUAUGCUCUACAAAGAGGUCAUCGCCCUUUCUCUUAAACUUGGGGUGCUCUUUUUGUUGUAGGACAAAGACAAUGUCCCCAGUAACA
rnacentral:lncRNA from 1 species